AAAAAAUGCUGACACAAAAACUUGUAAAUGAAUGUUCAAAGCAACAUUAUACAUAAUAGCCAAAAGGUGGAAUUAUCCCAAAUGUCCAUCAAUGAAUGAAUGGAUAAACAAAAUGUAGUAUAACCACACAAUGGAAUAUUAUUGAGCCAUAAAAAGGAAGGCAGUACUGAUACAUGCUACAACAUUGAUGACUCCUGAAAACAUGCUAGGGAAAAGAAGCCAGGGAAAAAGG